rnacentral:rRNA from 1 species
AUUGAACGCUGGCGGCAUGCUUUACACAUGCAAGUCGAACGGUAACAGGCCGCAAGGUGCUGACGAGUGGCGAACGGGUGAGUAAUGCAUCGGAACGUGCCCAGUCGUGGGGGAUAACGCAGCGAAAGCGGCGCUAAUACCGCAUACGAUCUAUGGAUGAAAGCGGGGGACCGUAAGGCCUCGCGCGAUUGGAGCGGCCGAUGUCAGAUUAGGUAGUUGGUGGGGUAAAGGCUCACCAAGCCAACGAUCUGUAGCUGGUCUGAGAGGACGACCAGCCACACUGGGACUGAGACACGGCCCAGACUCCUACGGGAGGCAGCAGUGGGGAAUUUUGGACAAUGGGCGCAAGCCUGAUCCAGCAAUGCCGCGUGCAGGAAGAAGGCCUUCGGGUUGUAAACUGCUUUUGUACGGAACGAAACGGUCCUGGUUAAUACCCAGGGCUAAUGACGGUACCGUAAGAAUAAGCACCGGCUAACUACGUGCCAGCAGCGCAGUAACAC